AUUGAACGCUAGCGGGAUGCUUUACACAUGCAAGUCGAACGAGUGGCGGACGGGUGAGUAAUAUAUCGGAACGUGCCCAGUAGCGGGGGAUAACUACUCGAAAGAGUGGCUAAUACCGCAUACCAUCGGAUGUGCCCAGAUGGGAUUAGCUAGUAGGGGGGGUAAAGGCUCACCUAGGCGACGAUCCCUAGCUGGUCUGAGAGGAUGACCAGCCACACUGGAACUGAGACACGGGCCAGACUCCUACGGGAGGCAGCAGUGGGGAAUAUUGCACAAUGGGCGCAAGCCUGAUGCAGCCAUGCCGCGUGUAUGAAGAAGGCCUUCGGGUUGUAAAGUACGUUCAGCGGGGAGGCGUUACCCGCAGAAGAAGCACCGGCUAACUCCGUGCCAGCAGCCGCGGUAAUUC
rnacentral:rRNA from 1 species